GUGAGGAAUAUUGCGCAAUGGAGGCAACUCUGACGCAGCCAUGCCGCGUGCAGGAAGAAGGCGCUACGCGUUGUAAACUGCUUUUAACCGGGAAGAAACCCCAGGACGUGUCCUGGGUUGACGGUACCGGAGGAAUAAGCACCGGCUAACUUCGUGCCAGCAGCCGCGGUAAUACGAAGGGUGCAAGCGUUAUCCGGAUUCAUUGGGUUUAGAGGGUGCGUAGGCGGAGCGUUAAGUCAGUGGUGAAAUCCUGCAGCUUAACUGUAGACUUGCCAUUGAUACUGGCGCUCUUGAGUGCGCUUGAAGUGGGCGGAAUGUGCCGUGUAGCGGUGAAAUGCUUAGAUAUGGCACAGAACACCAAUUGCGAAGGCAGCUCACUAAGGCGAUACUGACGCUGAGGCACGAAAGCGUGGGGAUCGAACAGGAUUAGAUACCCUUGUAGUCC
rnacentral:rRNA from 1 species